UUUUGUAUUUUACUGGGUAUGGGUCUCUCGUCGACUUGAAAUGUGAUGUUUAAUUUCCUUCAAUUCUCACAUUAGUCCUUCAAUGAAAUCAUUAAACACUUUCUGCUUUUCCGCAGGCUUGUCCAAAAUUAAUUGACAGGUUUGAAGAGAAGGAGGAAAAUGUCAAGGUAAACCAGAAUGAAUGUCAGUGGAUCUUCUCGCUUCACAGGAUUAAUUAUUUUGCUGCAGAUGGAUGUUUUUAAUACAUUCAUUGAACUGUUGCAGCAAACUGAAAAUGUUACAAAAGGACAGAUUGAGAUAAAUGAACAGAGGUUGGCAUGUCUUCUGUUUUGAAAGAACUUGUGGUGGUCUUGCCAGAUUUCCUGGCUGAUCACAUGGGUUCACUCAUUCCAGGAAUUGAAAAGGCAUUAAGUGAUAGGUCUUUUACCUCCAAUUUAAAGAUUGAAGCUCUUAUAUUUGUACGAUUGGUGCUGGCUUCGAAUUCUCCUUCUGUGAUUUCCAUCUUUAUAUCAAGGAGGUAAAUGAAUGUGCUAUUUCUUGCAUGGAUCUUGUUGUGUCAACAUUUGGUGAUAACCUUGAUGUUGAACUGCUUGUAUGCCUUCCUGUACUUGUCGAUCGGAUGGGAAAUGAGAUCACUCAACUUACAGCUGUGAAGCAUUUGCUGUCAUUGCUGCUUCUCCACUGA